rnacentral:rRNA from 1 species
AUCCUGGCUCAGAUUGAACGCUGGCGGCAUGCCUUACACAUGCAAGUCGAACGGCAGCACGGGGCAACCUGGUGGCGAGUGGCGAACGGGUGAGUAAUGCAUCGGAACGUGCCAUUGAUGGGGGAUAACGUAGCGAAAGUUGCGCUAAUACCGCAUAUUCUGUGAGCAGGAAAGCAGGGGACCGCAAGGCCUCGCGCUCUUUGAGCGGCCGAUGUCAGAUUAGCUAGUUGGUGAGGUAACGGCUUACCAAGGCGACGAUCUGUAGCGGGGUCUGAGAGGAUGAUCCGCCACACUGGAACUGAGACACGGUCCAGACUCCUACGGGAGGCAGCAGUGGGGAAUUUUGGACAAUGGGCGCAAGCCUGAUCCAGCCAUGCCGCGUGAGUGAAGAAGGCCUUCGGGUUGUAAAGCUCUUUCGGCCGGGAAGAAAUCGCAUGGGUUAAUACCCUGUGUGGAUGACGGUACCGGAAUAAGAAGCACCGGCUAACUACGUG